rnacentral:rRNA from 1 species
UGGGGGAUAUUGCACAAUGGGCGAAAGCCGGAUGCAGCGACGCCGCGUGGGGGAUGAAGGCUUUCGGGUUGUAAACCUCUUUCGCUAUCGAACAAGGCCCGCUUAGGGUGGGUUGAGGGUAGGUGGAGAAGAAGCGCCGGCUAACUACGUGCCAGCAGCCGCGGUAAUACGUAGGGCGCGAGCGUUGUCCGGAAUGAUUGGGCGUAAAGGGCUUGUAGGCGGCUUGUUGCGCCUGCUGUGAAAACGCGGGGCUUAACUUCGCGCGUGAAGUGGGUACGGGCAGGCUUGAGUGUGGUAGGGGUGACUGGAAUUCCAGGUGUAGCGGUGGAAUGCGCAGAUAUCUGGAGGAACACCGAUGGCGAAGGCAGGUCACUGGGCCAUUACUGACGCUGAGGAGCGAAAGCAUGGGUAGCGAACAGG